GGUGAACGCUGGCGGCGUGCCUAAUACAUGCAAGUCGAGCGAACAGACGAGGAGCUUGCUCCUCUGACGUUAGCGGCGGACGGGUGAGUAACACGUGGAUAACCUACCUAUAAGACUGGGAUAACUUCGGGAAACCGGAGCUAAUACCGGAUAAUAUAUUGAACCGCAUGGUUCAAUAGUGAAAGACGGUUUUGCUGUCACUUAUAGAUGGAUCCGCGCCGCAUUAGCUAGUUGGUAAGGUAACGGCUUACCAAGGCAACGAUGCGUAGCCGACCUGAGAGGGUGAUCGGCCACACUGGAACUGAGACACGGUCCAGACUCCUACGGGAGGCAGCAGUAGGGAAUCUUCCGCAAUGGGCGAAGGCCUGACGGAGCAACGCCGCGUGAGUGAUGAAGGUCUUCGGAUCGUAAAACUCUGUUAUUAGGGAAGAACAAAUGUGUAAGUAACUAUGCACGUCUUGACGGUACCUAAUCAGAAAGCCACGGCUAACUACGUG
rnacentral:rRNA from 1 species